rnacentral:lncRNA from 1 species
CCUGAUCUUACAUACGAAUAAGAAUAAGACAAUAUGGUUACUACCAAUUAGCGGUCCUUAGAUAAUUGAUUUUCAUCAUUUUGGAGCAUCAUCUUCAUUGUUUACUGCAAAUCAUCUUCCUUGUUUACUGCAAAGAAGAAUGUGAAAAUCAGUGACUUUCAUACUAGAAAAUUUAAUAAAUUUCAAGUACAUUAUAACUUAACUAUAAGCAUACCUUCACCAUUUAUGAGCCAUCCGUCUCCCAAUUAUUAUUAAAGAAAACAAUCUUUACGUGAAUAAGAUUGUAUUGAGUUUGUUUAUGGCAGAGUCGGCUAGGAGCUCAGCACAAAACUCUAGCCACCUACAUAGAGCUCGCUGAGGGAAGAUGGAACUCAUCCUUGUGCUUUGGAACAAGGUCGGAAAUUCCUAGAGGUGGUGCCAGCCUCUAGGUUCUUUUACCUCAUCAGCUGCAUAAACACAAACACUGGACACAGGGCACAGUGGACAUAUAAUAUAUCUUAGAAAAAUAACAACGGAAGUUUCAUAAUUUUGCAUAUAUUGUAGGGAGUGUACAUAUAAAAACCAAUUUUUUCGUUAUACAAAAAUCAAGCGAAGGGUGAGGACUACCAUCUCGAGAAAUGUUGGCAU